rnacentral:lncRNA from 1 species
UUUGGUCUGGCAACACAUUACAACAUUACAGGCUGUAAGCCAACCCAUCAAUCCUCAGCCAAGUUCUUUCAAAAUCCAACACACCUUCUUCUUCCUUCUUCCUUACGCUUCCUUCUUCACACACAUCAAUCCUCAGCCAAGUCCUUUCAAAAUCCAACACACCUUCUUCUUCCUUCUUCCUUAAGCUUCCUUCUUCACACACAUCAACACAACCUCAUGCCAAAAAACCAACUUUUAUUUUCUUUAUAUUAUCAACAUCCUUUGUAAACAUACUAGAAACAAGUAGAGGUUACUUUUAACAUUUGUGUAAAAUCCAGCUAAAAUUAGUGCGAAACAAUACAAGAUCUAGAACUCGAGUUUAUCUAAUAAACAAAAACAUUCACUGGUUUAUCAAUAAACCAAUAAAUUGAUGGAAAAAAAUCAAGAACAAAAAGAGAAGAAAAGAAACGAAAAAAUACUUAAAAAACAAGAAGGAGAAGGAAAUAGACAGAGUAAUCAAAGGAAAACGAAGAUUGUUUAAGGUAUUGUUUUCAUUUUGAUAGUUGUAUUCUGUAAUAUAUGAAAUGAAGUAGUAAUGAAAAAUAAAAUUGUUGUCAGAUAAAAAUGAUGUGUUAAUGUAAGGAAGAACAAACUAAGAACAC